CCUACGGGAGGCAGCAGUGAGGAAUAUUGGACAAUGGGCGCAAGCCUGAUCCAGCCAUGCCGCGUGCAGGAAGAAGCAUCUAUGGUGUGUAAACUGCUUUUGUACAGGAAGAAACACUCCCUCGUGAGGGAGCUUGACGGUACUGUAAGAAUAAGGACCGGCUAACUCCGUGCCAGCAGCCGCGGUAAUACGGAGGGUCCGAGCGUUAUCCGGAAUCAUUGGGUUUAAAGGGUCCGUAGGCGGUUUAAUAAGUCAGUGGUGAAAUCUGGUCGCUCAACGAUCAAACGGCCAUUGAUACUGUUAGACUUGAAUUAUAAGGAAGUAACUAGAAUAUGUAGUGUAGCGGUGAAAUGCUUAGAUAUUACAUGGAAUACCAAUUGCGAAGGCAGGUUACUACUUAUGGAUUGACGCUGAUGGACGAAAGCGUGGGGAGCGAACAGGAUUAGAUACCCUGGUAGUCCACGCCGUAAACGAUGGAUACUAGCUGUUCGGAGCAAUCUGAGUGGCUAAGCGAAAGUGAUAAGUAUCCCACCUGGGGAGUACGUUCGCAAGAAUGAAACUUANAAGAGUAGUACGGCGUGAGAGUAGCGACGGACGACCACCAGGGAGGGUUAGGAGG
rnacentral:rRNA from 1 species